CCUCACUUCUUUUUUGGCGCCAGGCUCUCUCAAAUGCCAGCAGCCUCACUCUCUCUCAAGACGAAAAGCCCCAAAAGCUCGCGAGAUUUUCGUCUACUAGCUUCUCUGCCACUGCCAGCCUCUUCUCUCAGCAAAAUCUCCUCAUUUCUACUUCUCAUAUAAUAUCAAUCAAAAUCUCGCAAUUUCUCGUUCCAUCUCUCCACCAGAAUCAAUGGGAGAAGAAGCAGUAGAAGAAACCGAUAACCCAAAUCCCGACGCCGAAAUCGCUGAAGCACCGGACGGCGGCGAUGGAUUCUCCUGGCCUCAGCUUCAAUUUGACCUUGCUCCCCAAAGAAUUUACCAUUUCUGCCACCAGUUCAGAAACAGUUCCAACCCUAACAAUUUCCAGAAGGGGGUGAAAUGGUCUCCUGACGGUUCGUGUUUUCUUACGAACUCUGAGGAUAACACUCUUCGUGUGUUUGAACUACCAGAUAAUGUUGGUGGUGCUCACGUCGAUGCUUGUUUACCUGCCGCUGAUGAGGAUUCAUAUGUUUCUAAUCUCAUUGUGAGUGAGGCGGAGUCUGUCUAUGACUAUUGUUGGUACCCUUACAUGCUUGCUUCAGAUCCAACUACCUGUGUAUUUGCAAGCACCACCCGCGACCAUCCUAUUCAUCUUUGGGAUGCCACUUCUGGCGAGCUCCGUUGCACUUAUCGGGCAUAUGAUUCCAUGGAUGAAAUAACUGCUGCCUUUUCAGUUGCUUUUAACCCUGCUGGGACGAAGUUGUUUGCCGGAUAUAAUAAGUCUCUCAGAGUGUUUGACAUACAUCGACCUGGUCGAGAUUUCCAACAGUAUUCAACCCUCCAGGGUAAUAAAGAUGGACAGUCAGGAAUUAUAUCUGCCAUCGCUUUUUGUCCCGCUCACAGUGGCAUGCUUGCAACGGGUUCGUACAGUCAGACUACAGCAAUCUAUGCAGAAGAUAAUAUGGAACUUUUAUAUGUUUUACAUGGCCAGAUGGGUGGGGUUACUCAUGUUUUAUUCUCGAAAGAUGGGAACUAUUUAUAUACUGGAGGCCGGAAGGAUCCGUAUAUAUUGUGCUGGGAUAUUCGGAAUACUGCUGGAAUUGUGUACAAGUUAUACAGAUCAUCGGAGUUCACAAAUCAGCGGAUAUUCUUUGAUAUUGAGCCCUGUGGCAGGCAUCUUGGUACAGGUGGGCAGGAUGGUCAGGUUCAUAUUUAUGACCUUCAAUCCGGGCAGUGGAUAGCUAGCUUUCAAGCUGCAUCUGAUACUGCCAAUGGUUUCUGUUUCCAUCCGUCUCUGCCAAUGGCUGCUUCAUCGUCAGGCCACCGAAGAUUUGGCAUGCCUGACAAUUGUGAGGAGAAUAUGAGUCUGAGUGGUGAUGAAAACUGCGUUUCAGUUUGGGGUUUCUCUUCCUCCUCAGUGGCAAUGGAUGCUGCUAACAUCACCGGAACGGAAUUUGAAGAUCUAGGCAAUAUUCAACAGGAUUCUGGAGGUGUAAAAGCUUCCUUUGAAAGCAUCUACUACAAUGUAUUUUCAAGAGCUAGAAGAUAGCCAGCAUCUACAGUAACUUUCUCAAGUUUCAUCGAUGGGUCAUUUGCUCUCACCAUUAUAAUGAAUUUUGAGGAGAGCUGAAGGAUAUCAGCAACUAUGUUCGCUUUGUUCAAGGGAAGAACGAAACUCGAAGCCAGCAACAAUUUGUGAAGUAUUGGAAGGUGCAUACAACAUCCCAGUCAAAGAAUUGAAUGUGAAAGAAUGCAAAAUCACUUUGGUAAUCUCUCCUUUCAUGUUGUCCUCGGGUUGUUUCUGACAUUAAAUAUUCCCUCUUCGAAGCUUUUCUCUAGUGUAUGAAAGUGAAUUAUCGGAAAGGCGGAUCAUGUGAAAUUGAGUUUUGCCUCUUCUUGUUUGA